rnacentral:rRNA from 1 species
UACGAAGGGGGCUAGCGUUGCUCGGAAUUACUGGGCGUAAAGCGCACGUAGGCGGUCUUUUAAGUCGGGGGUGAAAUCCUGGAGCUCAACUCCAGAACUGCCUUCGAUACUGGAAGACUCGAGUCCGGGAGAGGUGAGUGGAACUGCGAGUGUAGAGGUGAAAUUCGUAGAUAUUCGCAAGAACACCAGUGGCGAAGGCGGCUCACUGGCCCGGUACUGACGCUGAGGUGCGAAAGCGUGGGGAGCGAACAGG